GCGCCGGUGGUGUAAUGGCGUACAGCCUUCCCGCACGGUCAUCUGGAGGUGCGGGUUCGAAUCCCGCCUGGCGCC
rnacentral:tRNA from 1 species